GACGAACGCUGGCGGCGUGCUUAACACAUGCAAGUCGAACGAUGACGACCGAGCUUGCUCGGUCUGAUUAGUGGCGAACGGGUGAGUAACACGUGAGCAACCUGCCCUUCACUCUGGGAUAACCUCGGGAAAUCGGGGCUAAUACCGGAUAUGAGCUCCUGUCGCAUGGCGGGUGUUGGAAAGUUUUUCGGUGAAGGAUGGGCUCGCGGCCUAUCAGUUUGUUGGUGAGGUAGUGGCUCACCAAGGCGAUGACGGGUAGCCGGCCUGAGAGGGCGACCGGCCACACUGGGACUGAGAGACGGCCCAGACUCCUACGGGAGGCAGCAGUGGGGAAUAUUGCACAAUGGGCGAAAGCCUGAUGCAGCGACGCCGCGUGAGGGAUGACGGCCUUCGGGUUGUAAACCUCUUUCAGCAGAGAAGAAGCGAAAGUGACGGUACCUGAAGAAGAAGCGCCGGCUAACUACGUG
rnacentral:rRNA from 1 species